rnacentral:rRNA from 1 species
UACGUAGGGUGCGAGCGUUUGUCCGGAAUUAUUGGGCGUAAAGAGCUUGUAGGCGGUUUGUCGCGUCUGCUGUGAAAUCUCAAGGCUCAACCUUGAGCUUGCAGUGGGUACGGGCAGACUAGAGUGUGGUAGGGGAGACUGGAAUUCCUGGUGUAGCGGUGAAAUGACGCAGAUAUCAGGAGGAACACCGAGUGGCGAAGGCAGGUCUCU